rnacentral:rRNA from 1 species
CACCGUUCGCGGUGUCAGUACUUCGAUGAAUAACGUAGCGAAAUGCGAUACUUGGUGUGAAUUGUAGAAUCCCGUAAACCAUCGAGUCUUUGAACGCAAGUUGCUCCCAAGCCAUUAGGCCGAGGGCACGUCUGCCUGGGUGUCA